AACAAAUUUUAGGUAGGUCUUCUAAAUCUAUUUUGGGUGGUCCCGUUUGUUU
rnacentral:tRNA from 1 species